UUAAGCAUAUCAAUAAGCGGAGGAAAAGAAACCAACAGGGAUUGCCCUAGUAACGGCGAGUGAAGCGGCAACAGCUCAAAUUUGAAAUCUGGCCCUUGGGUCCGAAUUGUAAUUUGUAGAGGAUGAUUUUGGUGCGGUAUCUUCCGAGUUCCUUGGAACAGGACGCCUUAGAGGGUGAGAGCCCCGUACGGUUGAAUGCCUAGCCUCUGUAAAUCUCCUUCGACGAGUCGAGUAGUUUGGGAAUGCUGCUCUAAAUGGGAGGUAAAUUUCUUCUAAAGCUAAAUACUGGCCAGAGACCGAUAGCGCACAAGUAGAGUGAUCGAAAGAUGAAAAGCACUUUGAAAAGAGGGUUAAAUAGCACGUGAAAUUGUUGAAAGGGAAGGAUUUAUGACCAGACUUUUUCUGGGCGGAUCAUCCGGUGUUCUCACCGGUGCACUUUGCCCAGUUUAGGCCAGCAUCGAUUUUCGGAGAGGGAUAAAAGCUUUGGGAAUGUGGCUCCUCCGGGAGUGUUAUAGCCCAUUGUAUAAUACCUCUCUGGGGAUCGAGGUACGCGCUUCUGCAAGGAUGCUGGCGUAAUGGUUAUCAAUCACCCGUCUUGAAACACGGACCAAGGAGUCGAACAUUUGUGCAAGUGUUUGGGUGUUAAACCCUCACGCGUAAUGAAAGUGAACGGAGGUGAGAGCCCUUACGGGUGCAUCAUCGACCGAUCCUGAAGUUUUCGGAUGGAUUUGAGUAAGAGCAUAACUGUUCGGACCCGAAAGAUGGUGAACUAUGCGUGGAUAGGGUGAAGCCAGAGGAAACUCUGGUGGAGGCUCGCAGCGGUUCUGACGUGCAAAUCGAUCGUCAAAUCUGCGCAUGGGGGCGAAAGACUAAUCGAACCAUCUAGUAGCUGGUUACCGC
rnacentral:rRNA from 1 species